rnacentral:rRNA from 1 species
UACAGAGGUCUCAAGCGUUGUUCGGAUUCAUUGGGCGUAAAGGGUGCGUAGGUGGCGCCGUAAGUCAGGUGUGAAAUUUCGGAGCUUAACUCCGAAACUGCAUUUGAUACUGCGGUGCUUGAGGACUGGAGAGGAGACUGGAAUUUACGGUGUAGCAGUGAAAUUCGUAGAUAUUCGCAAGAACACCAGUGGCGAAGGCGGCUUACUGGUCCGGUUCUGACGCUGAGGCGCGAAAGCGUGGGGAGCAAACAGG